CCCAAGUUGCCAGGAACGCCGCUGGGUGACGCUUCUAACGUUUGUAUUACAUUUUAGAGAGUAACAAUGCGCUUUUACAAUCGUCACUUCGCUAGAUCCAUAUAAAAACCUACAAGAUUGUGCUGUAGAAGGCUUUGGAGGAAACUACUGUCCUGGUGAUCAACUUGCCUCACCACAGAAGGCCACAACAGGGAUAUGGCAUCAACUGGAUCCUCAACCAGCUUGAAAUAAACCAUGGAGGCUGCCUUUCCUCAGGACAUAAUAUAGAUCAGGUGAAGUUCUGGGCUUGGUGGAGACUGAAGCAGACUGGCACGUCAGUGGCCAUGAUUGCAGUGAAAGUGGGAGGAGACAUGAUGGCAAGGAAGAAGCCAGAACCACCCACUCUCUCUCCUAACUCUAGCACACAUGCCCACAAAGCACUCGAGUAUCCCAGCAGCAAGUCAGCUAAUUAUUAUUUCUUCAAAUAUCGCCUGUGCUUCAUUCAUUCUUUUUUCCCCCUCGAUCUCCAAUUAAACAUGUUAGACCUUCUCA